GUAGGAAUGGAAACUGCUGAAGGGCUGAAAGUGAAAGUUAAAAUCAUAAUUUCUUGUCAUUUCCUGUAUUGUUAUCACAGACGAAUAAUAAGGAAGAGAAAGUAAAGCAAGGAAGCAGUCGUAAACCCUAAUUCCACAGGUACAAAAGAAGAGAGCCGCAAAGAAAGAGAAAGAAGACGAGAACCCUAGAGAGAGAAAGAG
rnacentral:misc_RNA from 1 species